CUGUGAUGCUGAGUCACAUUCCUUUAUUGAUGAAGAAGAGAGAAAACUAUUAAUUGCAUACCAAGGACAUUUUCUACAAAGGAAAUUGGAGGACGCUGGCAAUUAAUUGAUUUGUUUUUCAAACUGACCAAUUCUGAGCCCAAUAUUGAAGCACAAUGGCUACCUGCACCUGGGUGCAAGUGUGGGAGAAACCUGAUCCUGAGAAGACGACACUGCAUGGGCCACCUUGGGCUCCCUCUGACUUUAGUCAUGCCCAUGUGAGCUGUAUGCAGGCAUGCAAGGCAGUCUGGGUUUGGACUAUCAAACACUCACAACAAACAACUCACUAAUAAGCUGCAGACCAAGAUGUUCUUUUUUCAGAGACUGUUCAAUAAAUGUUUCCAAAUAAGAAGUUUCUAUGGGAAAAACCUAGCCUUUUCCUACAGACAGCUCACAUUCCGGAAAAAAGGCAACAUUGCUCACAUGAAUUAUUCAUCACAAAUUACUCACCCAGUUCUUGCAGCCAGUGGUGCUUUUCCUCUACCUGGAGCUGUAGAAAAGCCAAGUUGUGUCCCUUCAGAGAGAGGGGAAGGGUCAUCUCAACCAACCGUGAGACAUCUGGCCAACAUAAGUGGCUCAUCGCACCUCCUAUGACAGACACAGUUUGCUGUGGGAUCUGUCUGCCAUCAGGAUGUUGGGCGUCCCCCUCCCUCAUCCAGCCGGGCACACCUGGGUAAGCAGUGCUUACUUGGGUGAGGAGGCAGCUUCCACGCUCAGCUAAGCUGAGUUGGACAGCGUGGUGGAGAUGAGAGUAACGUGAGAGCUAUGGCAGGAGGAGGCAUGGUUCUCACAUUUGCAGUGCACUGCCAAGUGAAAGAAGGGUUCACUAUGAGACAACCUGUGGCUGGGAAAGGGACUAGCUCCACUCUUGGCUGCUUGUCAAAGCUAGCUAUUUUGCAAUAUUAAUAAAACCAGUGAGUCCAUCUUCUGCAAGACAAGUUCUAAUUUCUCCAGCAAAUUCAGCAGCAGACAGUCAUGCCAAGACAGGCGGUCGGUGCAGCUUCUUCGG
ensembl:lncRNA